GGUGCUAACGUCCGUCGUGGAGAGGGAAACAACCCAGACCGCCAGCUAAGGUCCCAAAUUAUAGCUAAGUGGGAAACGAUGUGGGAAGGCUUAGACAGCUAGGAUGUUGGCUUAGAAGCAGCCAUCAUUUAAAGAAAGCGUAAUAGCUCACUAGUCGAGUCGGCCUGCGCGGAAGAUGUAACGGGGCUAAGCUAUAAACCGAAGCUGCGGCAAUGAAGUUUACUUCAUUGGGUAGGGGAGCGUUCUGUAAGCCGUUGAAGGUGUGUUGUAAAGCAUGCUGGAGGUAU
rnacentral:rRNA from 1 species